GAGAAAUGAUGAUGUAUAUGCUUUUGUCUUACUGUAAUUGUGAAGACUUGAGAUCCAACUCUGAUCUCGCUCUGCA
rnacentral:snoRNA from 1 species